UGAACAUACUGUGAGUAGAAGAUCUCUUUUUCCAAGAAAUAAGAUGGAGAGAGUCUUUGGAGAAUGACCUCACUGAAUUGUUAUAGACAGGUUCCUCUACCGGCAGCACAGCACAGCAGCUGGAAUUCCCUCUGACAUGACAGUGGUUGAUGAAGGCCAGCUUUUCAGGUGUCAAAGAGCCUUCUGAGAAUCCGAUGAAAGAUAUGCUUUUUCCCUCCCG